GACGAACCAUGCAAACGUUAUUCGGAUUCACUGGGCUUAAAGCGUGCGUAGGCGGUCGUGUUAGUCAGGUGUGAAAGCCCUCAGCCUAACUGAGGAAUUGCGCCUGAUACUGCAUGACUAGAGAAUGAUAGAGGUGGGUGGAACUGAUGGUGGAGCGGUGAAAUUCGUAGAUAUUCGCAAGAACACCAGUGGCGAAGGCGGCUUACUGGUCCGGAUCUGACGCUGAGGCGCGAAAGCGUGGGGAGCAAACAGG
rnacentral:rRNA from 1 species